AUUGAACGCUGGCGGAAUGCUUUACACAUGCAAGUCGAGCGGCAGCGCGGGGGCAACCCUGGCGGCGAGCGGCGAACGGGUGAGUAAUACAUCGGAACGUGUCCUUAAGUGGGGGAUAGCUCGGCGAAAGCCGGAUUAAUACCGCAUAAGCUCUGAGGAGGAAAGCGGGGGCUCCGUAAGGACCUCGCGCUGUUGGAGCGGCCGAUGUCGGAUUAGCUAGUUGGUGGGGUAAAGGCCCACCAAGGCGACGAUCCGUAGCUGGUCUGAGAGGAUGAUCAGCCACACUGGAACUGAGACACGGUCCAGACUCCUACGGGAGCAGCAGUGGGGAAUUUUGGACAAUGGGGGCAACCCUGAUCCAGCCAUUCCGCGUGAGUGAAGAAGGCCUCGG
rnacentral:rRNA from 1 species